UACGUAGGGGGCUAGCGUUGUUCGGAAUCACUGGGCGUAAAGGGCGCGUAGGCGGCUUUGUAAGUCGGGGGUGAAAGCCUGUGGCUCAACCACAGAAUUGCCUUCGAUACUGCAUGGCUUGAGACCGGAAGAGGUAAGUGGAACUGCGAGUGUAGAGGUGAAAUUCGUAGAUAUUCGCAAGAACACCAGUGGCGACGGCGGCUUACUGGUCCGGUUCUGACGCUGAGGCGCGAAAGCGUGGGGAGCAAACAGG
rnacentral:rRNA from 1 species